rnacentral:tRNA from 1 species
GCCGACGUAGCUCAACGGUAGAGCAUCUGAUUUGUAAUCAGACGGUUGGGGGUUCGAUUCCCUCCGUCGGCU